UGUACACCGUAACAGCAAUAUUG
rnacentral:miRNA from 1 species